CACCCUUCGGGGUGAGGCUAGCGGCGGACGGGUGAGUAACACGUAGGCAACCUGCCUAUAAGCCUGGGAUAACUACCGGAAACGGUAGCUAAGACCGGAUACGUCACUUGGGGGCAUCCCCGGGUGUGGAAAGUCGGUGCAAGCUGACGCUUAUGGAUGGGCCUGCGGCGCAUUAGCUAGUUGGUGAGGUAACGGCUCACCAAGGCGACGAUGCGUAGCCGACCUGAGAGGGUGACCGGCCACACUGGGACUGAGACACGGCCCAGACUCCUACGGGAGGCAGCAGUAGGGAAUCUUCGGCAAUGGACGCAAGUCUGACCGAGCAACGCCGCGUGAGUGAUGAAGGACUUCGGUUCGUAAAACUCUGUUGCCAAGGAAGAACGGCAGGGAGAGUAACUGCUCUCUGUUUGACGGUACUUGAGAAGAAAGCCCCGGCUAACUACGUGCCAGCAGCCGCGGUAAUACGUAGGGGGCAAGCGUUGUCCGGAAUUAUUGGGCGUAAAGCGCGCGCAGGCGGCUUCUUAAGUCUGGUGUUUAAACUCAGGGCUCAACCUUGGGUCGCACCGGAAACUGGGAGGCUGGAGUGUAGGAGAGGAAAGUGGAAUUCCACGUGUAGCGGUGAAAUGCGUAGAGAUGUGGAGGAACACCAGUGGCGAAGGCGACUUUCUGGCCUAUAACUGACGCUGA
rnacentral:rRNA from 1 species